UUUUCUUUUCUUUCUUGAAUGAAAUUUCAAGGAUUGUUUAAAAACAUGUUAUUUGUCAAACAUAAAACAUCGAUUUGAUUAGAAAAGAAGAUGCAAGAUCAUGAUGGUAUCCUCGAUGAGCCUAAGCAAAGCUGUAUUAACUUGGGUUAAGCUUUUCACUCCCUGAUGAUCACAGUCAAUGACAGCUUUCUUAACAGCCUCAACACUUUUAUACGACUUCUCAAAUUUGAGCUGAUCAAAAGCCUGUAGACCUUCCCGGAUUUGAGGAACACUGGUGUUAUAAGAAUAUCGACACAACACAAGGGACCCCCAUGUUGGAUAAUCUGACGUCGCAUUCUGC
rnacentral:lncRNA from 1 species